GAUAUCCUUGUUCAUGUAUCUUUUUAAUCCUUGAGCUUCAUCAUUUCCUCUAUUAACAUUUACAGUACUUGUGUUGAACAGGAAGGUAAUUUGAAGUACACUCUAUAUGGUGUGUUAGUUCAUUAUGGUAGAGUAUUGAUUCUGGUCACUACUACUGCUUUGUUCGCACUUCAAGUGGCAUAUGGUAUUCCCUUGAUGAUAACAAGGUUAUCCAAGCUAGUGAGAAGACUGUGUUCAACCGGAAAGCGUAUAAGUUGAUUCGAGAACUAGUCUCGGAGCUUCGUUGGUGGUUGCUCGGUCUAGACGAAUUCCGACGACCCUAAAGUGCUUCGCUUCCACCGCCAAUUCCGAACUUCUCCGUUCCCAGCUCGAUCGUCUUCACGCGGAGGCAGAGUCCACUCGUGCCAAAGCAAAUAGUAAUAGGUUGAGACUUUUGAGAUUAUCCGAGGCUGCUGAGAAUCUACGGAGACAAGCAUAUGUUCAUGUUCAGACAGAGAAAGAGAACGAUGCAAGAGAGUUGCUUCUCCAGAGAGCUUGAGAAGGUGGUGGAUUUUUUAGUUUCUCGUUUGUAAUUGGCCAUGAAUGCUUGAGAAGGUGGUAGAUUGGGAAGAUCAAUCGCGCUAAUUUUGAA